rnacentral:rRNA from 1 species
UACGUAGGGUGCGAGCGUUAAUCGGAAUUACUGGGCGUAAAGCGUGCGCAGGCGGUUUUGUAAGCCAGAUGUGAAAUCCCCGGGCUUAACCUGGGAAUGGCAUUUGGGACUGCAAGGCUUGAGUGCGGCAGAGGAGACUGGAAUUCCUGGUGUAGCAGUGAAAUGCGUAGAUAUCAGGAGGAACACCGAUGGCGAAGGCAGGUCUCUGGGCUGACACUGACUCAUGCAACGAAAGCGUGGGGAGCGAAACAACGGAUUGAUGAUAC